GACGAACGCUGGCGGCGUGCUUAACACAUGCAAGUCGAACGGAAAGGCCCUGCUUUUGUGGGGUGCUCGAGUGGCGAACGGGUGAGUAACACGUGAGUAACCUGCCCUUGACUUUGGUAUAACUUCAGGACACUGGGGCUAAUACCGGAUAGGAGCUCCUGCUGCAUGGUGGGUGUUGGAAAGUUUCGGCGGUUGGGGAUGGACUCGCGGCUUAUCAGCUUGUUGGUGGGGUAGUGGCUUACCAAGGCUUUGACGGGUAGCCGGCCUGAGAGGGUGACCGGCCACAUUGGGACUGAGAUACGGCCCAGACUCCUACGGGAGGCAGCAGGGGGGAAUAUGGCACAAUGGGCGGAAGCCUGAUGCAGCAACGCCGCGUGCGGGAGGACGGCCUUCGGGUUGUAAACCGCUUUCGCCUGUGACGAAGCGUGAGUGACGGUAAUGGGUAAAGAAGCACCGGCUAACUACGUG
rnacentral:rRNA from 1 species